AGAACGAACGCUGGCGGCAGGCUUAACACAUGCAAGUCGAACGCCCCGCAAGGGGAGUGGCAGACGGGUGAGUAACGCGUGGGAAUCUACCUGGUUCUACGGAAUAACACAGGGAAACUUGUGCUAAUACCGUAUACGCCCUAUGGGGGAAAGAUUUAUCGGUGCCAGAUGAGCCCGCGUAAGAUUAGCUAGUUGGUGGGGUAACGGCCUACCAAGGCGACGAUCUUUAGCUGGUCUGAGAGGAUGAUCAGCCACACUGGGACUGAGACACGGCCCAGACUCCUACGGGAGGCAGCAGUGGGGAAUAUUGGACAAUGGGCGAAAGCCUGAUCCAGCCCUGCCGCGUGAGUGAUGAAGGCCUUAGGGUUGUAAAGCUCUUUCAGUGGGGAAGAUAAUGACGGUACCCACAGAAGAAGCCCCGGCUAACUUCGUGCCAGCAGCCGC
rnacentral:rRNA from 1 species